GUUUAAAUAGUUUAAAUAAAAUGUUGGUUUGUGGUGCCAGAGAUAUGAUUAAAUUUCAUUUUGAACC
rnacentral:tRNA from 1 species